AAAAAAUUAAUAUUUUGUUAUACCUAGACGACUUCCAUGUAAGUCAUCUCAGGUUAGUUUUUCAAUUUAAAAAUAAAACAAAAUAUAUUAUUUUUUCAAGACGACUUACACAGAAGUCGUCCGUCCGAUGAGUUACAUGGAAGUCGUCCAAGAUAAGCAAGGUUUGACCAGAAUCUCAGAAUAAAAUCAUGGAAGACUUCCAUGUAAGUCGUCGGACGGACGACUUCCGUGUAAGUCAUCAAGAAAAAAUAUAAUUUUUGUUUUAUUUUUCAAUUACAAAACUACUGAGACAACUUACAUGGAAGUUGUCUAGGUAUAACAAAAUAUUGAUUUUUUAAGUUUCUACUGGACGACUUACAUGUAAGUCGUCCAGGAAAAGUCAAAUUUCUGACACAAUCAGGUCAAAUGCAAAACUAACUCGUUUACCUUAGACGACUUACAUUGAAGUCGUCUCGAUUUUUUUUAACAAAAAAAGAUGGACGACUUCCUUGUAAGUCUUCUAGAAAAAUACAUUUAAAAGUCAAUUCCAAAACUAACUUCUGCAUUGACCAGAAGACUUCCAUGUAAGUCGUCUACAGCCACACGACUUACCCGGAAGUCGUGUGGACGAACAAAUAUAGAAAAAAAAACUAAUUUCAUAGUUUCAACAAGUAAGAUAACAUGUUUAACGCACAAAAGUCUUCUCCAAUCAACCAGAAUCUCAAACAAAAGUGACACACCAAGAAUUGUAAGCUUCAAUGGCUCUAUGAACCGUAUAAUUUUUAGAAUCAAAAUCUUUGGUUUUUUUUGAUGAAUAUGGAGAGAAAGUAAAGAGAUGUUAUUUUUAGUUCAUAAGAAUUGAGAAAGAAAGAGUGGGUUGUCCCGUCCCGCUCGCCAUAUGGCUAGCUGGGUUGUCCCGUUGCGCUCGCCAUAUGGCGAGCUGGGUCGUAUCCGUCAUGCUCGCCAUAUGGUGAGAACGACUGCACCUUGCCAACAUAUUCACUCUCGUCUCCUCUUCGUAGCUUUCUCCUUCAAGCUUCGGUUACAAUGUCUCUUGUUUCGUCUCGAUUGAAGUUAUUGUUGAAACUUUACGACAAAAACCGCCAAGACUUAUUUUCUCGUAUAAAUUCAAAUUGAUUGUAUAAAACGGGAACAUUUAACUUAACACCUUAGAGAUUUAGAAUUUACGAUUAAUUUUAGUUAUUCUUAAAAGGACCAACGUCAUACCAAAGGUAAUCUUUCGAAGAAAUCGUAAAAACGCGAAGUCAAACUACGGCCCGAAAAGGUCUAGGACGCGGCUAAAAAGCCCACUUACGAUUUUUGACAAAAUCGAGCCCAAUGUUACUAUGACGGUCUAUCUAUUAUCAGUAGGAGAAGAUAAAGGUCAAGUCUCAAAGAUAAAUGUCAAGUCUCGAAGAUAAAUGUUAAGUCUGAAGGGAUAAUCAUGAAGAUCGAUGAAAAUGAAAUAUUUCCGCGAGAAGAUAAACUUGACUCAGGGGUGGAAAAGGAAAGCCCAAACAGAACUAGAAGGAGUAUAUAAGGAAUUCCAAGGCGAGAGGCGCAAAAAACAAUUCUUACAUAGAGCAAACUUAGCACUUAGAGUGAUCUAGGCAAUUUUUAGUUUUGGUUAUCGACCUGCGACUCAGCUAGGUUUUCAAGUCUUAGGUGGUUAGAACUAGGAACUCGUCGAUGGCUCUUACGUCCGAGGCUUUACCUGUUGUAAUGCCUAUACAAAAAUUCAGAAUAAGAUCUUAUUUGCUCUAUUUUCGUUUUAUUGAUUCAUUAUUUUGUAUGUUUACAUUAUCUGAUUGCUUGUUGUUUGGCUUAGCAAAAAUCCGGAACCUUUGAAAAAGUUAGGGUUUCUUAGCUUUCCUAAUUUGAAGUAAAUCAACGGUGUGAAUUUUGGUUCCCACAUGGAGAUUGGCUAACACGUGUUUUUGUGCUACUUUGCUGAUAUCACUCAAAUUACUCUAAGGAGUGAUUUACUCUCUCAAAUAAGAGGUUCAAUUGUAGUACUUAGGGAUCGAAUUCACAGGGAGCUAAGGCACACAAUAGAUCUAUCUAGUUAUGUAGUUAAGCUAUGCUGAAUGGUUUAAAUGUAUAUUAGCAGGGGUGAACAAGUAAUUUUUCGAUUGAUUGAUUGGGUUUUAAGACAUAUAUGGGAAACGUUAGACUUAGGGUUUCUAUUCAGACAAUCAGGAUUAUAAAGACAUAGACUACUAAGCAUUUAUGGAUAUUCUAGAACUCAAACAAAUAAGAAUAGUCGAUCAACUUCCGUAUAUUUAGACUAUCUAUUACCGGAUCUAGGACCUUAACUGUCGCUUGUUGGUCCUGAGAAAAUGUCGAUCGAUUCCAACAACAGGGUGUCGAUCGAUACACCUUUCAGCCCGUCGAUCGAUGCAACUAAUGAGUUAUCGAUCAACGUUCCUUCCCGGGAGCGUUACGCACGGGUUUGACAUGUUCACUAGGUUAAACUAAAUUAGCUUCCGCUUGUUUCUAGAAAUCCUAGCACAACCUAAACUAUUUCAGACAAAGAACCAAACUUCCGAGUGCGUCCUAAUGUCUAUAGGCAAGGUCCUAGUUAGCUAUUAUAGAACACAUGCAUUAAGAACUGUUUAGUUGAUUAAUAUCCUAACACUUAGCAAUUCUAUAUUUUGGGCUAAUCCCUCAUGAAUAUCUAAACCCUAAAUCUAACAAGAUGAACAACUAAGACAUGGCUAAGCAAUUCAUAACAACAAGCUAAGAAAACUGCAUAAUAAUAGAAUAGAGUAAAGAAAUCGGAAUUCCAAUCACAAAUCUCUAAAGGAGUUCUUGGAUCUUCUCUCCAAACCUAAGACUCUACAUAUUUUGCUGUGUGAAAAAGUAGAAAGUAUGAAAGCGUGUGUUGCCUAGAACAAUGGCAGAACACAUAAAUAUUAGGUUAAAACUCGUCACGGGUAAUCUGGUAAUUCUUGUGGGACUUGGGCUUUAAGUCGGCUAGAACCCAAUCUGGCUUCCGCGCGCUUCGCCGUCGAUCGACACCACAUGGUGUGUGUCGAUUGAUUGUUGCCUUCGCCCAUCGAUCGAUAGUCGUGGUCGAUGGUCAACUUCGGGCUUUUGUCAUUUUCUCUCCAAAAUGCAGCAAAAUCACCACUUUCCUCCAAAUCACUCCAAAACCUGAAAACAUACUAAAAAGACUCCAAAACAUAUAUAAUUUAUUUAAAACUCCUAUAUACCAUGCCUAAAAAUGAGUAAAAUUCGUGGUAUAUUAUUCGCGUUUGUUCAGGUUAUAUGGGACGUGCUUUCCCAACCAUUAUUCUCGAGGUAAGUACUAGUGUUAUUUUAUUUUUACCCACAACUUUUUUUUGUGUAGCGGUUUGCUUAAAAACUUAGAUUUUCAGGUUAUAUAUACAAAAAAUAAUUAUUCAUCAUUUUUUAUUCAUAAAAAUGGUAGCGGCUAUGUAAAGCAUUGACCAUCAUAGCAUCAUAUGGUUAACCAUCCAAACUAAACAAAUGUAUACCUAACUGCACGAAAUAUAUAUUAUGCAUGGUAAUAUCUCGUAACUUAAUGAUAUUAUGUAAUUAACAUUACGGGAGUGUAUACAACCGAGAGUUUUGAGCGAUUUGUAUUAAAAUGAAAAAUUCACUGUUAUUUAAACAUGAAUUUUAAAAACUCAUUUAAAAUCUAUUAAAAUAUCAAAUCGUAUCUUGGCAUAUUGUAUAUUCUGAUAUUGUAUGUACUACAUAUUGCCUUAGUUGUAACGUUCUGUAUAUGUUGGGAAGCUAGGUUAUAAAAUGUGUAAUAUAUAAACAUGUCGAUUGACCUCAAAGCAAAUACAAGAGAAACGUUCACCACUGAGAAAUUCUUUUGACAUUGUAUCAGAGCAGUAAUAUGAUUCUGCUAAUCAAGUUCUAAAGUUGUUUUCUCUACCAGUACUGCAAGAUGGGAAGUAACGACGGCAAGAACGAUGAUUCUGGUAUGAGCUCUGAGACUAAGACUCAAAUCGGAAGGAAGCAGAGUGUUGAGACCUGAGACCCAGAGACUGACCAUAUCACCCUACGACUUGUCAUCAAGUGACAAUCCUGGUUCUUUGAUAUCCCAACCGCUACUUAACAAGAGAAACUACAAUGAGUGGUCUGGAAAUCUUUGUAUGGCGCUCAAGGCAAUGAAGAAAGUUGGGUUUGUGGACGGGUCUAUUCCAAAGCAUGGUGAUGACUCUGAAGAUGUGGAGGAUUGGUAGACAAAUAACGUGCUGGUGGUAUCCUGGAUCAAACUCACAAUCGCAGAGAUGGUACAUUCGAAUCUGUCUCAUCUGGAGAUUGCGAGCUAUUACUGGAAACAUAAUCUUUAUCGAAAUUUGGUGAAGAAUUGUCAACGAAUUCAAAGAAUCAAAGUGAAACUAGCGAUUUGUCGACAACAAGGUUUGUCGAUAGAAUAAUACUACGGAAAGUUGAUGCAGUUGUGGACAUCUCUGUCUGAUUUUAGGCAAUCUAAAACCUGAAACUGUCCAGUUGGGAUCAAUAUAGAGAAAGAACGUGAAGAGGAUAGGCUUCAUGAAUUCUUGCAAUGGCUUGACAAGGCAUUGUAUGGUUCUGUAAAAUCAAGCCUACUUUCUAAAGAUUAUUUUCCUACUCUGGAUGAAGCUUACAUUAAUGUGUUGCUUCAGGAUGUAGAUGUGAAACAUACCUCUUGUGUCCAGCACAAUAAGAAUGACACGAUGGCGUACUCGGUCAGAACGAAUCAGAAUGGAGGGAUGACUCGUUCCUUUCCUUCACGAGAAGAACGAGCAAAGAUGGUUUACUCCACUGUGAAAGAAAGGGGCACCUAUCUUAUGGCUGCUUUCGCACACUCGAGUACCCUGAGUGGUGUGGAGAUCGACCAAAUGCACGUCAGUCUACUGGUCGUGGAUGUGGAACUGGAUAAACACAGGUUAGAAAUGAUCCACCAAGGGUGAAUGUAGUGCAAACCUCUGUUCCAGCAGAAGCAAUGCAGUCAUCAAACGCGAUAACAGCGCAAGAUCGCGUGGGCAUAACUGGGUUGAGUGACAAGCAGUGGCAUACACUAGUGAACAUGUUGAAUGAGAAGAGAUAACAUUUAACCUCAACAUCACUGACUGGUAUGCUUUUCUUAAACUCUUGGAUAGUUGAUGAGACUUUCUUAUCAUGUGGUUUAACAUAAACCACUGGGAUACGUGUUUAUAUACCAAAUUGAAUAAUCAUUUUCUUGUAUGUUGAUGACAUGUUGAUCUUUGGCACUAGCCCCAGACAAGUAGAUCUUUCAAAAUCACUAUUGUUAUUAUGUUUAUACUGAAAAAAAAUAGGGGAGGUGGAUGUGAUUCUUGAAAUUUGAAUUACACAUGCAAGAAAAGACUAUCUUUGACACAAUCUCUUUAUACUGAGAAAAUUGUUAAGAAGUUCAAUUUGGAGAUUGUUUUGCAGUGAGCAUUCCCAUGGAUACGAGUGUGAAGCUUGUGUUUUAUACUAGACAACUGAUAUCACAACUCAAGUACUUAAAUGGAACCAUAAAUUAUGGUUUGUCAUACGUCAGAUUUCCUUCACUGGUACAAGGAUAAUCAGAUGCAAGUUUGGUUACUAACCUAGAAGACCUUUUUUUUUACAAGUGGUUGAGUGUUUUGCUUGGGGAAGUGCCAUUUCAUGGGCUUCCAAGAAGGAGACUUUCAUGAAAAAAUCAACUAUUUAAUAAUAAUUUUUAGCAUUAGCAUAUGCCGAUAAAUAGGCAUAAUGGCUAAGGAAUUUAUUUUAAGAGAUUAUGUUGUGGUCAAAAUAUUAGAUCACCAGUUUCCACCUAUUUUUAUAGUGAAGAAAUCUUGGUUAAGGUUUAUAACCAAGUGUAUAAUGGUAAGUCGCAACACAUGUGCGUCAAGUAUAGGCAAUAUGUGAAUUGAUCACUCAUAGAUUAAUUACCAUAAAGUUUUUUUUGUCUGAAAAAUAUGUAGCAUGUCAUUUAACAAAAUGAUUAACUAUAGACUUGGUAAUUGAGUAUGUUAAAGGGAUGAGUUUAAAGUCCAUUCAAAAUCUUUAACUGUGAGAUAUCCAAUCACCCUCUAAUACAACAUUAGAGGCUGAAUUCAAUGUGUAUAACCAAUAUUUAAAGAUUGAAGCACAUGUUCAUAUCAUCAUAUAUGGUAUGUGCUUGAACCUACAAGAAAUAAUAGGUUGAGAUGUUUUAAUAGAUACUUUGAAAAAAUGAAUUUGCAGGUGCAUGAUUGAAAGUAGUGUGGAAACACAUGUGUGUAUACAUUCAUGAAUAGAUAGAGACACAUUGCUUAUAAUAGUGUUAGGUAAACACUUAUAGUAGUGUGGAAACACAUGUGUGUAUUAUCUUCAUGUGUCCAAGAUGUAUUGAUGGAUUCAAUUUGUAGGGCAUCCUAAUUCUCGGGAAUUUAGAAUGUUUAAUACACUACGAUGAAAAUUCAAUUCUUUGAACAUUUUCAUUUAUGUAUAAAUUUUAUAUAUGUGUUAUUAUUUAAUGAAUCUAUGUUUACAUUUAAACGGGGGUGGAUUGUUGGAUAUUUAGGUGAUACCUUGCAUCCAUUAAAGUGAAGCAUUACAAUUGUUUAGAUAAAUAAUUGUAACUAUUUGUGAUGUGUAAGUAUUAGAAAUGAACCGUUGCAACCUUUGUUGAUAAACCAUUUCAACCGUUGAUGAUUAAAACCUUUGGUAAUGAACCAUUAGGUCUUUUGACUUCCCAUUGCAAUUGUUGUUUAAUAGUUGUAACUCUUUGCUAACCAUUGCAAGUGCUAACCAUUACAAACCGUAGUACUCUAUAUAAGGUCAAAUGAUAACUUAUACUAAUUGAACAAGAGAAAAUUAGAGACUAAUUGUUAGUUAGAGAAAUAGAGAGAUUCAUUGUUCAAAGAUCAUCAAAAAUAUUUGAAGAAACAUAUAUAAACAUUAAACCUCUAUUUUUUAUUCUUGUAUCUUAGACUAGAACAAGAAUGAGACUUUGAUUGUUUUAUCCUACAAAGAUAUUUCGUGUAACAUAAAGCUUGAAAUAUGGUUGAAAUAUUGUUUGAAGAAAGUAACUUAGUGCACGAUUCAAUAGUUAUCUAACUUUUAUAGUUCACACACAUCGGGGUUGCUAACCCAAUUAACCAAAAUGGUGUUCAUUCUCAUGCAUCAGAAUUUCUUCAAAUGCACCUCACCACAAAUCAUUUACCGGUUCCGCACGCUCCGUUUGAUUUUGGGUUCGACUGGUGACCAUUCUGAAAACAAGAGGAACGAAUAGGAAAGGAAUGUAGAGACAUAGAAUUGCAGGAAUGAAAGGGAAUGGUUGUUCCAUCCCAUAUUUAACAAGGAAUUAAUUUGUUCUUUAUUUCUCUACAAAAAAAGGAAUGGUAGGGAAUGAGAAGGAAAAAUUAUUCCUUAUGAAUGGUGAUUUUUUUAAGGAAUGUUAGGGAAUGCAUUUGUUCCUCAUCGUUCCUUGGUCACCAUUCAUACCCUUUGUCUUCUGGAAAGUAAAAAAUGAGAACCUUAAAGCUUUAUCAACGUCUGGCACUUGGGAAGUUAUUAUCAGUCAUCGCCAAAUUGUCAAGUAAUGGACUUACUCUGUUUGGUUCAAAGGAAGAGUACCCAAACAUGCUUUGAGAGUGUGGUUUGUGGGAGACAUAUGUUUUAGAGUGCGUACGGAGUAUGUAUGAGCAUAGAGUAAAUAACAUAUACUAUACUCGUACUCCCAUACUUUCAAAAAUGUUUUAUCUCAGCAUCAAGAAACAAACUCUUGUAGCCUUAGGAAGUAAACGACUUAGGGAAGACAAUGCCUCAUCGAAAUCGUCCAACGAAAAAUGAUAAUUUAAGACUCGUCUAAACUGUCUAGCAACUCUUAAUGCAAUCGUGCAUUUGGACAAACCUUAUACGAACAUCAGACUAAUAACAAAACAGUUAACCAAACGUUAAGGCAUAAAACUUAUUUGACUUGACGAAAUAAGUCUUGUAUAACCAAAAUAAAUAAAAAAAAUCAAAAAUCAAUUUAGAUAUCUCCAAACAAAAAAAGUGUCACUCCCAAUUUCCGUAGAGCCAAAUGAUUUACGGGAAAACAUCAAAAAGUUUUUCAAAAUUAUUUCGCAGAAAAACAAGAUCAGCAAUGUCUGGAACAUCGAGCAUAAACAAGAGAAAAAUCUUCUCCACAACAGUGGACCAGAUAUCAUCAUCAGUUUAUGAAGCCAUUUUGCUCAUCGAUCCCACAAACAUCACGAGUAACAAAAUUUCAUUACAUAUACUCGGAAUGUUUCUCAUAAAACCUGAGAUAACUUUCAUAGAAACUUAAUGAGACAGACAAAAAUACUUUUAGGAAAGAUCAGAAUCAAAAGAAAAAUGUUUCUCGUAAAAUCUACGGUUAAAACACAACCUUUAUGUAUCUCGACAAAGCUUCUCUACACAGUGUUCAUAAAGGACUAACAUUCUCGACUCAAACUCUUUGGCCCUUGGCAAAUUACUCCUUCUGUAAAGCUCAAACCAAUUGUGGGUACAUCCUUAAGGAAAAUUUCAAACUAACAUGACUUUAAUGCUAACAAAAAAAUGGCAUGGUCUAACCCUCAACCUAUAGUGCCUCCAACAUAUGGCUAAACACAGCCAUCAGCCAAUCUAAAACUCUUCAGCUACAAUACAUAACAUAUAUGAAAGAUUUUUGUAAAACAUCUUAUGAAACGCUUCUCGUAUAACUUAUACAAAUCGCCUCUCACAAACUAAAAAAAUCAUCUCUCUUGGAUUAGUUACAAGAUUUAAAUGAUAUAAAUCAAAGGAUUUGAUUUUCCAUUGAUUUAUAAAAAGAUAGCCAAUUACUACUUCCAUAGGAGACACCAUCAGAAUUUGAUCGGAAGGAAGAAAAUCGACAGAAAAAGGAUACCAACAAAGAAAGAGAAGACAACCCAGAGAAUAAGAGAAAACGAAAAAACAAAGAAUACAAAGUGACCACACUUUGGAGCCCGCAAACUAAGAAACAUAAUGAUUAUUAACAACAAAGUGAUUCGUAUUUCAACAAGAAUAUCUCGACCCCCAAACUGAACAUCAAUCAAAUCUCGUAAUUAAACCAAAAAAAUCAAAAUCUCAAACUGGGUUUUGAAAUUCAUAAACAACUGGUCUCAGAUAACACCACCCAAAUCGAAAUAAAUACCCAACAUAUCCGACAAUUUGAGACACACCGGACUCUAGGGGGCUAUUUUUGGAGGCGGGUUUCACCUCACUAUAAAAGGCCCGACAAAGAGACAAUAAAAAAUAUCAUACUUUUAACUGAAUUAAUCUUUUUCAGAAAAAAAAAUUGAUGAAAUGUGAAAUGUACUAAUCAUAGCAAAAAGAAUAGGCAUUUACAAAAGAAUAAAUAGCCUAAAGAUGACAAUAUACAGGACAAAAGAUGAUUGGUAAGAAAACAUUUUUUGUUACCAAUCAUCAAUAAAACAUUGUAAUAUUUUGUCUGUAAUCAUUGUUUAUUGUUUCAAUGUUAAAGCGUCACUAAAAAAAAUACAUCACAACAAAUUAGCAUUAGUUUUGUUUUUAUUUUACUGUAUAUUAUGUAGAGAGCAAAUAAAUAAAUAUUAAUACUUAAAACUUAAAUUUGUUUUGCAAAAGAAAAACUAAACAUUACUGUCAGUAAAUGAGGCAAACAAUAUGUAAUUUUGGGUAAAAUGUUAAAUCAAAUAUGUUGCCAUAUAACCCAGAGAAUUUGUAACCCAGCCAAUGAAAAUAAAAUAAAAAAUCUAAAUCUACACAUUUGUUGCUCACCAUGAAAUUUGUGAAUUUCAGUUACUUGCCAGACCAAAAAAAAAGAAAGUUAAACCGUAAUGGAAACAAAACCAGCUUAUCGUUAGGAAUUUUACUAAAAUUGGGUCGCAUGUGCCCAUAUCUCGGCCCAUUAUUUGAUCUGAGACUUUUCUUUACUCUUUUACGGUUUCUUUACUCGUUUAGGGUUUCUUUACUCUUGUAGGGUUUCCUUUCUUCAACUCUUUUCCGCCGCCUUCUUCUCUGUCUCUCAUUUCUUUUCUUUCGUUCUCUAUAUAUCAACCUUUCUCUUUCCUUUUUCCCUCUCAUAGUAAGAUUCGCCUCUUAUAAGAAUGUAAGAUUCUUACGGAGAAAAAAUUUGUACCAAAGCUAUCAUCAACCCUCUCUUGCUCCCUCUUAUAUUGGCAAGAUCACAAAACUCGGGUUUUGACCUGUUUAUUGCUUCGAUCAAUGCACUGAAAGUGACUACAUCAGCAUUUGUUUUUAAGCUUUCGCUCUCAUCUAUAUGAUGAAGAUGAAAAUUAGCCUCUGAUGUAGUCACUUUCAAUGCGUUGAUCAUAGCAUGUAAAAGAGGUGAUACUUUUGUAAGGACGUUGUGUUAAUGUUAUUUUCUUAUCUUUAUUGUUUGUCAUUAAAAAAGCUUGUUUUACUAAGGUUUGAUUUUUAACUGGGUUUCAGUUAAUAUUCAGGCGACCAAUCCCUCCAUGUAACACAAUGUUGAAAAGUUAUUGAACAUUGCUGGUUUGAGUGAGACCAUCAUAAAUUGCUUGGUAGCCGUCUAUAUAACAGCUCCGACAAGAAUCUAAUUUUCCAAGGGUUUCAGUUUAGGACAAUCUGCCUUCAUAGAUUAUAUUAGUUAUAUAUAACAAAACAAAAGAGAAUGUUUCAUGGAUAGCUUGCUGUUUAAACCAUAUGCAAUUGAGUUGAACAAGCAAAUUAGGAUGAGCAAAGAAGAUGUGUGCAGAACUUUUACCAUUGGUGUUUAUUGCAUGGUCUUGCUACCAUUAAGUGCCAGCUGUUCCCACGUCAAGAGCUGAGAGCCAGAAGAUCUUACGGCCUGGCACAACAAAAUCAUGAAUACGGUUGCCAAAUGCCAUGAUCCUAUUAGAAUCAGGAGAUAGUAUCCCCUUUGAUUCAACACCUACGGUUUCAAGAAACAAGACUAUGAAACAAAGUACAUAUGUGGUAUUAGCUAAGGCUCUUAAAGGUUAAAGCUCUCUUUCUAAAAACUUGAACAUGUUAUCAAGCAUAGGGUUUGGUCUUGAUCCGGAAGCAACAGAGAUCUUGGUUAAGCAACUGGAGCAGUUGUACACAGAGGACAAGCUAUUGAGGGAGUUUCUCCCCAAUACAGACUUGGGUUUGAAUCUUGCUGGCCAUUGGGGGCAAAAUUUAACAUCCGGGCUCUCCCAGCGUCCGGUGACCGAGGCAUACUCCAACCGAUAAUGUAGGCUGCUACGGACACUUGUCUAGUCUGGAUCCACCGAGGGGGUUAGGAUUACACCGGGUUAUUCAAAAAAAAAACAAAGGAAAAGCUAUUGAAGAAACAAAGGAAAGAAGAGAAGGCAAAAACGCAUUGCCACGAAAAAUUGAAAAUGAUGACUGAAUUGAACUCUAAAUCAUCAUCUUCUUCUGAAUCGAGUGGCAGUGACUGUAGCAAAGGAAAAGUAGUUGACAUGAGUUCUUUUGGAAACAAGGCUAAACCGAUUCUCGAGCAGGAACCCUUCCUAAUAAGCUCGAAGAAGAUGCACAUUAUUGCAAGAACGCGAUGAAGCGUUGAAGCUUGCUCUGCUGCAUCCACAGCCUUUCGCUCAAUUGUUAAUCCUGGACAAACAAUGAAGACUUAGAAGCAGUUCCAAUUGUAUCGGAAGAAAAUGCAAGAAGUCAGGAGGGGCUUUGUUGUUGGAUGAGUUUCAAAAGGCAAUGGCGGGCAUGGAAGGAUCCGCUGUGGCUUGCAACUGCAUAGGGAAGUGUUGAGAUGGUUCAAAAAUUGAAGGAGACUAAUGCUUUGAUGACUGAUGUGGAAACUAUUGUCACAAAAUUCUUUGGUCAAGAACGUCUUGAUUAUGUCUCA